CCAGACUCCUACGGGAGGCAGCAGUGGGGAAUAUUGCACAAUGGGGGAAACCCUGAUGCAGCGACGCCGCGUGAGUGAAGAAGUAUCUCGGUACGUAAAGCUCUAUCAGCAGGGAAGAAAAUGACGGUACCUGACUAAGAAGCCCCGGCUAACUACGUGCCAGCAGCCGCGGUAAUACGUAGGGGGCAAGCGUUAUCCGGAUUUACUGGGUGUAAAGGGAGCGUAGACGGCAGCACAAGUCUGGAGUGAAAUCCCGGGGCUUAACCCCGGAACUGCUUUGGAAACUGUGCGGCUGGAGUGCAGGAGGGGUAAGCGGAAUUCCUAGUGUAGCGGUGAAAUGCGUAGAUAUUAGGAGGAACACCAGUGGCGAAGGCGGCUUGCUGGACAGUAACUGACGUUGAGGCUCGAAAGCGUGGGGAGCAAACAGGAUUAGAUACCCUCGUAA
rnacentral:rRNA from 1 species